rnacentral:rRNA from 1 species
CGGGACGGGUGGGUAAUGUCUGGGAAACGUGCCCGAUGGAGGGGGGUAACUACUGGAAACGGUAGCUAAUACCGCAUAACGUCGCAAGACCAAAGAAGGGGGGACCGUUCGGGCCUCUUGCCAUCGGAUGUGCCCAGAUGGGAUUAGCUAGUAGGUGGGGUAACGGCUCACCUAGGCGACGAUCCCUAGCUGGUCUGAGAGGAUGAUCAGCCACACUGGGACUGAGACACGGCCCAG